AGAGUGAACGCUGGCGGCAGGCCUAACACAUGCAAGUCGAACGGCAGCACAGGGGAGCUUGCUCCCUGGGUGGCGAGUGGCGGACGGGUGAGGAAAACGUCGGAAUCUGCCUAUUUGUGGGGGAUAACGUAGGGAAACUUACGCUAAUACCGCAUACGACCUACGGGUGAAAGCGGAGACCUUCGGGCUUCGCGCAGAUAGAUGAGCCGACGUCGGAUUAGCUAGUUGGCGGGGUAAAGCCCACCAAGGCGACGAUCCGUAGCUGGUCUGAGAGGAUGAUCAGCCACACUGGAACUGAGACACGGUCCAGACUCCUACGGGAGCAGCAGUGGGGAAUA
rnacentral:rRNA from 1 species